rnacentral:rRNA from 1 species
AGUGAACGCUGGCGGUAGGCCUAACACAUGCAAGUCGAACGGCAGCACAGUAAGAGCUUGCUCUUACGGGUGGCGAGUGGCGGACGGGUGAGGAAUACAUCGGAAUCUACUUUUUCGUGGGGGAUAACGUAGGGAAACUUACGCUAAUACCGCAUACGACCUACGGGUGAAAGCAGGGGAUCUUCGGACCUUGCGCGAUUGAAUGAGCCGAUGUCGGAUUAGCUAGUUGGCGGGGUAAAGGCCCACCAAGGCGACGAUCCGUAGCUGGUCUGAGAGGGUGAUCAGCCACACUGUAACUGAGACACGGUCCAGACUCCUACGGGAGGCAGCAGUGGGGAAUAUUGGACAAUGGGCGCAAGCCUGAUCCAGCCAUACCGCGUGGGUGAAGAAGGCCUUCGGGUUGUAAAGCCCUUUUGUUGGGAAAGAAAAGCAGCAGGUUAAUACCCCGCUGUUCUGACGGUACCCAAAGAAUAAGCACCGGCUAACUUCGUG